UUCGCCGUAAAAUCAGUUGUUGCGCGACGUUUCCUAUUGAAGGUUCGUUUCGUGGCUUUUCUCUUUAAACUUUUUUGGGUUGUUGCUAGAAAAAAAAAAAACACAAGAAAUAUAAAAUUUUUAUACAAAAGUAUUCACUUAAAUAAAUAACAGUGUUCAAAAUAAUAGAAAUUAGAAAAAAAGGAAAUUUCCACAAAGUGUUAACGCUUAAAAAUAAAAGUGCAAAAAGAAGAAAUCGUUGCUUUUUUACCACGUCUCAAAUUUCUUUUUGUCUUUUAUAUUUUAUAAAUUUUUCUACAUUUGUGUGUUAACAACACCUUUCUAUUAGUAAGCAACUAAAGUAAAAAACCACGACAACAACAACAAUAAUAACAACAGCAGCUCGGCAAAAGCAAUAGCAGCAAAUUAUUAAAACGACGUAGUUGUUGUAGUUUAUUUCAAAGUCUUCGAAUUGUAUUUAAAUAAAACAAAAGCAAAAUUAAAAAAAAAAAAUAAAGUGGCCUUAUGAAUAAUUAAGUAAAAAAUAGUUAAAGUUUAAUACGAAACUUAGUGUGAAAGUAACCAAAAAAAAGUUGAAAUUUUUUUAUACAAAAAAUUUAUUACAAAACAAAAGCUUUUGCAAACGAAAUUUUAAAAUAAAAACAUCCUGUACACGAGGAUCUGUAUCGUGUUGUUGUUUAAACGAAUAGGUAAUUUGUUGCUAAAUAAAAGAAAAUCUUUGUAAAAAAAAGUUCCACCUCUAAGUGCUCUUAUUAUAUAAAAAUUAAAAAUAAUUAAUAUAAAAGCAACAAAAUCUACUAUCAUUUGUUGUUAUUUUUACCCCCCUCUCACUACAAAACAUACAUAUCAUCAUCGCUACUUGGUCAACCUUCGCUGCUGAGACAUACGCGAAUACCAGAUAACCAACUGUAAAAAACCCACAAAAUAAAUCUUAUUUAAAUAAAAUAUCACUUAUCAGUGUUUCCCUAACUGCCUUAUCUAAACAAAACAAAACAAAAAAAAUAUAUUAAAAAAAAUCAAAAAAAUUUACAUAAAACGUGAGCUUCCUAUUUUAAAUUCAUACAAAUUUAAAAAAAAUAAAAAAAUUAAUUAAAAUCAAACUAGUAACUGAUACAACGAAAACGGUUGUGUUUAAAAUAAAACAAAAAAAAUCCUAAUAAAUCUAAAGCAAAUUAUUAAAGUUUA